GGUUGCCUUUGAAUGUCACAGUUAUUGAGCAAAUUUGAAAAUAAGUGGGUUUGUAGGAGUCAGAGUGAGAAGUUAACGGACUGUAGGAGGCGUGAGUCAUAGCUGCUCGGAGCUUCAGAAACAGCUCAGCUCGGCCAGCUGUGGGCACUUGCCUCACCGUUUUAGUAAGCGCAUCUAUCCGCACUCCCCCGAGUGGGGUGGGACAGGAAUGACUUGGGAGGUCCUGAAUAGGAAAGUCCACACUUAAAAACUGUACCUUAGUAUCUCAGUUUCGCUCAAGGAUGGUCUUUAAGGACUGGUCAUCAGUCUGAGCUCACAGGAGUGACGGGAAGAAGGGACUACGAAGGUGAUGGAACGCACAGGCUGGAAUGCACAGAGGCUCACUUUUUUUGGUCGAGGCCCCCUGCAGGCUCUGCUGAUGGCCGCAUAUUCAAAACUGGGACAUCUUUGAUGCUUCCUCCUUCUCGAUUCCGACCAACAAGAAUUUCACAUGUAUGUUUGUGCACCGCACCCUCAAAUGUGUUAGGAGGAAAAAGUCUGUAAUGAAAAGAAGCUGAAAAGAGAGGCACCGCAACGUGGUUGGGUUCCAUCUGUACCAUAGUGAUCACACGAGAAAGCAGCUCAGAGGCGUCAGAGGGGCAGAGAGAAGAAAAGGCAAGCGGUUCCAGGUUGGAUCAACCGUUCAGCGUAACAAAGCAACCUUGUGAAGAAGACAGGCGACAAAAGUGACUGUCACCAUUUUGCAGGUGAGGAAACUGAGGCUCCAAGAAGUCUCAUGGCCAAGAACCGGCAACGGAGCUCUGCAGCAAAAGCAAGGAUUUCGUCUCUGCUGUUCUCCACAAGGAAUUGAGGCCACUUGUCAGCAUAGCUAAUAGUUGUGCGUGAGUGCCAUGGAUAAAUAUGGAGGAGAAAAGUGGCCAAAAGAAUAAAAAAGAAGAAGAAGAAGAAGAAAGGAAAGUGGACUAAGGGAGGGGGGUGAGAAGAAGUGGGGAGAUGAUGCUAAAGUGUUUCAGUGCAGCAAAAUCGGCCCCAUGUACCAUAGGGCUGAAAAUAUCACACGAGAAACUAUAACGUGUGUUAACCUUCGUGAUUUCCCAAAAUACGGUCGAUGAGAAUUCUCUGGGUGGCACCCAAACAGGGUGCUAGGCAUUGCUCUUAGCAGAUCCUGCAGCCGGUACAUGGGGGUGACAACAAUAAGACGCAACUUGGGGAUUAAAGUUAACCGCUGGGACUAGGCGAGGAAGUAUCAAAAGAUAGGGGGUGAAGUCAGACUAGUGUUUGCUCCAUCUGGGGAAGGACGAGUGUCAAUAGGAGAGAGCCGGCUGAAAGACACCCUCUCAAGCAAGGAGCUAGACAGGGGAAUCUGGCAGUGGGAUGAGGGGAGAGAGGGAGUGGCAGUCACAGAUCCCCUAUUGUGGGCAGGAUGCUUUAGGUUGCACUCAGUCUGGGUGCUCUGAUUUCACGCUCACUGGGUAGCCCCGAAGGACCUGGAUGAUUGGAAGGGGCUGCUGAAGGGGGAGUAAAUAGUCUUUGGGAAGACCUAUUCCUCCUUAUAAAGUAAUAAGUUGGUGCUCUGGUUUAUAUUUCGGGCCGUGGGGGAUAGCUGGUGUGAGUCUGUCCUCCCAUGAUGCAAACACCUCUGGGGGUUCUGAAUCAGCAAAGCAGAACUCUGAUCUUUAAAUGUGAUGAGCGUGCCAAGGCCCUUUGCCCAUUUUGCCCAUCCCGCCUGGUGGCCAGCCAGUCUUCUUGGACCGCAGCCCUGCUGAUUCCUCUUAGUGACAGGGGGCAUGGUGUUCUUUUCUUUCGUUCGAAAGUGAUUUACUUGUGGUAUGUAGGGCAGUAGUCUGAUUCAAGGGCAAUAGCAGCCGCAUACGGGCAUUGGAGAGAAUGGCGGUUCUAGUCUCAGUGUUAGCACUAGCCAUAGCUUUGAUAUUUCGAGCUGUUUAACCCCAGUCCAGGUUUCCUCACUGAUGCAGCGAAGGGAUUUCAUUAGAUGAUAUUUGUAAUUUGCCCAAGGUCACUUAGCCGGUCAGUGACCAGUGGGCCUUUACUCUAUUACCCUUCCCCUGGACCUUAGUCUGCUCCUCCCCACGUGAAUUUGGGACUAAAGCCCAGGCUGGAGGGAGGGUUCCAAGUGGACAGUAAAGUAGUUUGAAUUUACUUCUCCUUAACUGGGAGGAUUUCCCUUCUCCUUAACUAGGUUGGAAUCGGGGUAGAUUAUGCAUAUACUAGUCACCUACAAGAAGGCCUUACCAAUAAAAUAGUGAACUCAA